UGUGAGCCCCGGGGAGCGGGACCCGUACCAGGCGCGCCCAGCGGGGGAUGCGGUGACCGAGGGGCCGGGAGCGCCGGGCAGGUAACGUAUCCUGGACCUAGAGUCGGGGGACUUUGUUUGGGGCGGGAGGAGCGGAACAGGGGUGGGUGUGAACGCCGGACGGCCCUUCCGGGACUCCUGUCCCCCCUCCUUCGCCCCACUCGCCUGCGCGCUGGAAGCCAAUCUGGGUGUGUAGCGCGAAGAGCGAAAGAGAAACUUCUGCGUGACUGACUAGAUGAGGCUCCUCCCGAGAAGCCGAGAUAAUAGAGGCCCCCUCUCCCGCCGCCCGCCUUUUUCUCCUCCCCCGGCCGCUCGCUCCUGUCGCCCCACCCCUCGAAGGCUGCGGACCAGCCCCCCACACUUCCCCCUACACCUCUGGCGGGUUCGCGCCGUGGACGCCCCCGCCCUGCGGGAGGAGGGGCUGGCGCGGAUUUUAGGGACUUCCUGGGAUGCGGAGAUCGGCUCUGAACCAUCCCCUUUCUGCUGCCCGGAGCUGGGGAAGCUCGCUGUGGAGCGUCUCGCACGUGGCAGGCAGGCAGAGAACUUGCUGCACCUUCUAGGAAAUUGCAAUCGAUUUGUAAUGCACUUUCGCUAAUUGGGAGUUCAAAAUUAAACUUUAAUAAAGCAUUCGUGUCGUCUCGUCUAAUUGUGAAAGCUUCCAUCCGUCCUGGUAGAUAGACUCUAAGUCUCAAGUUAAUGGCGCUAAGCUAGAUUUUCCCCCCAAGUACAAUUCCGUCAGCCGUCGUCGGCGCAGCUGGAUUUCCGUAAGGUACAGAUGUUGCUAAUGACAGCUUAAGCACGGAUGGGCAGAUAGCAUACGGAAUGCAACAUGUUGCCAUAUGGUUCCUUUAGCCUUUCACCUCCAGGGAUAUCAAUCACAUAUAUUCUGGGAGGAACUUAAUGACUCUCUGAACAGCAAAAUGAAUUACCUGGUACAAUUUAUAUCCCUUGACCUGAUACGUUAUAACAACAGGAAGAUAGCAUCUCGCAAUUUCUGUGGUAUAAAUUGAACUACAGAGCUACAUUUAAAAUUCUACAUCUAUUUGUAGUUUAAGGGGCCCUGUCAUAUUCUGGCUGUAAAAUCUGUUUCUGUAUUGCCCAUCUCCUUCCCCCUCCUACCUCUGGAGGAAGCAAAAUUUAUAAAGUUUAGCAAAACUGGUGUCGGAAAUUGCCAGUCAACUGAUUAAUAGAUGAAGUAUGGAGAAAUGGAAAAUAUGACUUCCAGAGCUACUUACUUCAACAAGAAUUAGCCAUCUUUAGGAACACCAUACUUUUAAGCGUACAAAAUUAAAGAACUCCAGAAAAUGUAUUUUCUGCUAGUUGUUUCAGUAUAGCUCCUAAAUCUAUUCAUUAACUAUUUGAAAUUCUCCAUUUAUUUUCAAACUUCAACCAUUCCUACACUUUGGAAAUUACAGAAGACAGUUCUCAGAAAUAUGAAAUACAGGAAAUGUAAGUAGCACCUCCUCAGCGAACCAGUUUCUGUACCCACAACCCCAUGCACUCACUAUUUAUGUAGCUUAAUUUGAAUCAUGUACAUGGUGGUACUGGUAGUUUGCUUUUUCCUCCCAACAUGUCAGUGACAGCAUACUUAAGUUGCUGCUUCUCUCCUAGUGGAGUGAUUCUGCAAUAUUUCACAGGUCUCAUUUUUAAAUAUCCUGGUGACUAAUAAAAUGUUUUAAUUGAUUGCCUUUAAUUUCAGAUUAUAAACGUGGUUGUCUUACUGUAUCCUUUAUUUUCUAUUCACUAAUACAGAUAGAUCACACGGGAAGACAAUACUUUAAGGGCAAAAAGUAAAAUAACUUACUAGAAUUUCUAAACUUUAUGUUUACUUUUACCUACUAAGGGAUAUCUGAAAGGUAGAGACAUACUUUUAAAACUUUUUGCUUCUGGCACUAUGUAAACAUUAAUUCAUGUAAACUAAUGACUAGCAGAAUGCCUAAGAUAGACAUGAACAGUCUGAAAAAGUAUUUACUUUCAGUCAUGUCAAGUUUCGGAAAGUGUUAACAUUUUGAAAGUUUGUCUAUAUAUCAUGUCCUUUCAUAAUUAUUGUGAAAUUAUAAGACGAUGCUUCUCCUUUUUUUUUUCCUUUGUAGUGGCUGAUUUGUUACCUAGUGCUUUAGUUCGAUAAUUUUGAUAAUUAUUAUCAAAUAAGAUCCUUUGUGUGUGUAUAUAGGAGAAAAUCUUAUACAGAACACAUUAAGAUAUACAUAAGUUAUGGCAAUCUUGUCUUCUGGGGCUGUUUUUUAAAUCUUUUAAUGGCUGAGGUUUUAUUUCUCUUUGUAGCACCAGCACUCGAUGUGUCUUAAAUGUGAUCAGUAGUGAUGGUGAGCUUGUCAAUAAUGACUCCAUCUCCAUGACUUGUGAAUAGGCGGUGAGUGUGUCCUUUAAUCAGUCACACAGAACUUGCUUUAUAAAGCUGUUAUUGUCAUGAACAGAUAUUGCAGUCUUGUCAGGCCCAGUGAUUAUUAAAGUGUUCCUUCUUCAAAAGCCAGGCCGAAAGUCCUGCUGUGCUUCAUUUCACAAUUGAAGUCCAUUAGUAAAUAAAAUCCCAAGCCGCACGAUUUGCUGUUCCUCAAGUUAUAGGCUUACAUAUAUUUCAUUAAUAAUCUUGGGCCCUUUUGUAGACAUAAGUAGGUAUAUUUUUGGUAUAUAUAUAUGGCAACAAAAAUAAAAUAUGUAUCUUGCAGCAUGACUUUUAUUUUAAAUGAAGAUUUGAUGGAUGUCCAUUGUUACUCUAAAUGAGGUGGCUGGCUGCCAAGGGAAACCCUACAGUCAGAAAGUACUAGAAUUGUUACUAUCUACAGGGAAUCACUUUCUAUUUUUUGAGUUCUCAACUUCACCUCCUCCUUUCAAUAGUGCCCCUCCAUAUUGCUAAUCUGAGAAUUAGUCUGAAUAUGAAAACUUUUGAAAAUAUGUUUGUGUUGUCCAAGAAAAAUUUCACCAGUGUUUCUGGUUGCCUGCUGGUUUUCAGCCUUUAUCUUGAGUGGGCAUGUUUAUUCUAACUGAAUGAAGAAUGACUAUUGAAUUAGGUAUAUUCCCCAUGCCAAAUAAUUUUAACUGUGAUGUAAUCCUAGCCGCUUUCUUAUUUUUACUCCCGAAUAAAUUUAAAAUAUUUAAGAUUGGCCAGGUGUCUGUUUUUCUCAGGGUAACAUGGGACAGCUAUGGAUAGGCAUUAGGCCUCUCAUAGAACUCUUCAUUCAAGUGAGUGUGGCUGAGAGGAACAACCAGGAAAGAGUAUAGUGCCCCAUUGCACUUGCCCUGUUGGCUUUUCAAAUGCAAAAUCCACGUUGUUGCAUUUGGAAACUUGUUUCUCUGUUUUAUGGUAUUUCAUUUAAGAAUUUUUUUUAACUGCCAGUCUGUAAAUAUUUAACCAGCCAAGCAGGAAACAGCCUUUUAUUCUCGACUGUAUACAGCUUUUGUUUUUAUCUGGGUUAGCAUGGGUGCCAUGUAAAUACCAUAUAAAAUUUGACUUUGGUUGUCCUUACUUUGAAGAUUGACAGGGGUUUCUUUAAUUAAUCUUGUUUCCUUUCAUGUUCUGUAUUGAGAUAUUGAAAUACAGUAUUUUAUACAUUUAUAGGAUUGUGUUUGCAUUUAUUUAAUUUAUGUUUCUUUUUUUGAAGCAUGUAGCCUUGAAUGUUUGUUCUACCCUUUUUUUUUUUUUCACAUCAUUACUCUGGUGCUGCUUGAUGUAACUUGAUUAGCUCCCUCCCCAGUCAUGAUUGGUAAUUAAAAUAGGCAUUAAAAUUAGUCACUUAGCAAUUUUGCUGUUCAAUUGGCAAUUAAAUUACUUAAUUGCAAUUAAAGUCCUAAUUUUAAUUGGCAAAAUGAUAGAUGUAGAUUUAAGAUAAUAUGUAUAAAUACUUUAAUAAGUGUCUAUAUAAGGAUUACUUAAUUACUCAACUUCAAGUUUAUGCUGUUAACUUUAGAACUUUUAAGUGAGCAAUGAAAUUUAUAUUACAUCUAUUCAAAGGAUAUGGUAAUUAGAUUUAUUACUUAUCACUAUAAGGGUCCUUGCUUUAAGUUACUUUUGUAGUGUUAAAAUUGUAGGCUUGAUAAUUGCAGAAUUCUGAUGAGAAAAAGGGCAUAUAUGUCUCUGUUGCAAUAUUAUCAAUACCUUCAUUUUUAAAAUUAAAUUGAGACAUUCCAUCCACCAAUUAGUCUGAGGAAAAAAUCAAAAGUGGUUAUUUUAUCAUUAAAGAUAGAACAAAAACUAGCCAGCUUGUGAUUUACAUAUAAAAACUUGCAAAAUGUAUGUAUUUUAUCUAAAUUUAAAUAAAUGCUAUCUAAUACUGGUAGUGUUAUAAUGCUAUUAACUACUUUUAGAAUUUGCAGAUAUUUGAUGUUUUCUUAGCAUGUAGCAACUUAUUUUCAUAAUCUUUAAACUGUCUUUUAGGACUUUGUACAUUUUAGUGAUGCCUAUGUUUACUAAAAUUAGCAAUGAAAUCUAAAACCAAAGUUAUUCUUCUUUGCCUAAUAAAAAAUAGUUCUUAAAUAAGAAAAUAUUAAGUGGUUAAUUUAAAAGCAAGUAUUUAGGAGAUGGUUACUGGGUGUCAAGUAUUAACAAAAAAUGAAGGAUUUUUAUUAUGCAAAAUACUUUUUGAGUGGCAUGAGGUUUUACCAUAUGUUCAGUUUUAUAAUUUCAAUUUACAAGAAGAUGCUUCCAGAAAAAAGAAUGCUGUUUUUUUUCUGCACAUCUUUACACAUUUCUAGUACUGAGUUCUGUAUCAAAGAAAGAAAUAAUUUUAAAAGUAUUUGUGUUAAGUGGUUUUUGGUAAAAAUCGGCUGAGAAAUACUGAAUAAAAGCUACAACUAUCCAAAAUGUGAAUAUUAACAAAGCAAUUGACUUGUUCUUUAACCAUCCUAUGAGAAAGGAACAAACAAUUUGGUCAAUUACUAUCCUGUCAAUGCAAAUGAAAUGGCAAAAGCAAAACAAUAAAAACACUUUCAGAAGUAAAAACUAAUUUUGUAUUUUCAGAAACAGAUUUUUUUCAAAGUGAAAAUUUAUUUCUUGUAUCAGUAAUGUGACUUACUGCCCAAUGGCAACAAAUGCUGUGAAUGAGUUUGUCCAAAUGUAAUUUAAAAUAUAUAUCUUGUAAUGCUAAAAAUAGGUUCUACAAAGUAAUUUUAUUAUGAAAAAUCUUAAAGUUGCCUCAACUCGUAAAGCAUAACAGGUAUGUCUGUUUCACUAUAUCUGCAUUGUAAGGUCUAUUCUGAAUUCAUUUGGGAAGAAUGGUGAAAUAAAUCCCUAAAGGCCUCUUUCCUAUGCAUUAAAAUAGAAAAUCCUAUGGGAUUACAUUCAUGUUUGCUUUCUAAAUUAUGCCAAAAGCUCAAUUUUAUUAAGUAUAAUCUGCCUAGCCAUGCAUAAAAUAAACUACUUUGGUUUAGAUGUGAGUAUAUGUAUUAUUUAUGUUGAUUUUUAAUGAAAAUAUGUUUACAUGUACCAAUAUGUUCUGCCUAAUAUUGGUUAAUGUCAUAAAAGAUAAUAUAGUAACAUUACUUUCCUAAAUGUU